CGAACAAUGCCCAGCAGGGCCGACCGGUCUUCGUCGGGAAGGAAGGUCUCGCCAUUUCGCAACGAAACAUUUUUAAUCAUUCGCAUUUAUGUUAUUUUUGCAACUAUUUGUUCGGUGCAAAAUGUGGACACAGAUUACGACAAUAUUUGUGUAUUACAUAAGUUUAAGAUAACAAUCACACUUUUAUGCAAUUACACCUGGAAAUUCUAUUCACGCCGAAAAACAUAAAAGCGCAUAACUGCGCGUUGACAUAGUAACCAAGAAAAUCGUCAUAAAAUAUACAUAUGUAUGUACAGUAUGUGUCAAUUAUUUAAAUUUCACAAUAACCGUUUGUGACAAACGGGCUGUUCGAUUCGAUCUCUUUGGUAGGAUUUAAUCAAAAUGCCGAUGUUAACAUAAACCUCAUGGACUGAAUGCAUGUUAUAAAUUGUCCUUUGAACAACCAUAAUCCAUAAAAAUUAAACUACAGGAACACGAAAUAAUUACAUAAUACUUUUUUUUUAACGUUUUCAUUCGAAAACAUGCCGUAAAAAGAAGAUAGUAUGUAUUUUAAAUUAAGUUCUGCAUCCGCAGAUGAAUCCAUCUUAAUUGUACGUGUACUUUUCUGUGGACACAUCAAUGCUUCACAUUUACGUUUAAUAUUUACAUACAUCAUUUUUUAAUAUACAUAUUAUAUCAUUAAGUUACGAAAUGCGUAGUUACCUACGAAAUACUAUGAUUUAUAAACCAUAGAUUUGUUUGUGUAAUAUAAUCCAAUCUAGAAUUUUUUGUUGAAUUUGUCUUUUUUCUGAUAAUACCUUAGCAGCUUUCUGAAAUUUUUCUUCGUUUCUGCGUACGUACAUCUUUGCAUCUUGUUCUAACUGACUAAUCUUUUCAGGACGUAUUUCUACCAUCGACAACAUUUCGGUCAAGUACGGAUUAAACCGAAAAUAAACGUGUUCCGGUAACAAAUCGUUAAGCAUCGUGUGUACAGCUGUAUAAUAAAAUAAUUGUUGGUAUUAUAAAACUUAGGAUUAAUUCAAUCCAUUCGGAUUUUUUUAUUUUUUAUUUUUUUUUUUUUUUUUUUUUUGUUACAGUAUGUAUAUUGUAAAACGUUACCUUCCGUAUCAGUUGCGCUAUCUAAAAUUUUAUAAAAUUUAUCUUUCCAACUUGAAAUCACAACAUUCGGAGAGUCAUUAUUGUUUUCAUAAAUUCGAUUUGGCGUUCGUCCAGUUCCAAAUGACACAACACACUGAAUUGGAUUAUUUGGCCAUAAUUGUUUGGCUUCGUGUAAAGCGACAGCGCAUGGAUUAUUUACGAGUAUACCUGUGUAACCGGAAGUCAAAUAUUUCAAUACGUUUCUCACUCGUAUAAAGUAUCUGCUUUGUUUUCUUAUUCUUUUUAUUUUACGAAAACGAUCAUUUUUUACCUCCAUCUUGAUGAAGGUAUUCACCGUGUUUAAACUCUUCGAAAUAACUAGGCGCUGCCGCAGACGCUCUUACAGCUUCCCACAAUUUGUGUUUGUGAGAUCCUAUGUAUUGACUUUCCACUUUAUAUGGCAAAGUAUAAUUUCUGAAUACAUAACCCAUUACACGCGCAUGAUUUACUAUAGCUGAUAUAGCUGAAAACUAAAGAAUACUUGUCAUGUAUAAUUUAACAAAUGUUUUAUCUUCGAUAUUUGUAAGAAACUACGUAAAACUCGUUCGCUAAGCAUAACUUGAUAUGUAUACCGCAGUUCACCCGAGUCCAUAACUGCGACGCGCAGGUUGGAAGAUGGUGGGGGAACGCAGCGAGCUCUCUGCUAAUCGCUUUCUACUUCGUUCGGGAGUCUCGCCAAUCAGGGCGAAGAUGCGCACGAAAGAACGAAAAGUGGUCUUUUCGCAGUUAUGAACUCUGGUGAAGUACGGUAUAUGUAUGUACCUUUGGAACAGUUGGAUCACGUACAGUUUUUAUAAGGGUUUUAUCUCCCAAAUGUUCUUGCAAUAAUUUCUCCCACAGUGCGGUAUCAUAAUAUCCAUGGCUCCAUACUAAAUUACUUGUACCUUUUAUAGCACUUUGAGUGAAUACUUUAGCGCUUAAUUCCUUGUAUAAUUCCGAUAUUUCGUUUAAUGAUUUUCGUUUAUGUCCUAAACAAAAUUUCAUCGUUUAGAGAUAAACAUAUAGACAUAAAAUAUGAAAUUAUUCGGACAAUUACACUGUAAUAUAAAAUAUAACAAAUUUUGCGUUAAACGAAUACGACUUUUAUACGCCAAUGCGUUAGGUAUUUAAAUGAAAAAAAUAAUAAUAAUGGCAAAUAGGCAGAUCUUAGGUAAUAAUAUAAUUAUAAACUACUAAGAAAUAUGUACAUACCUAAAAUAACUGCAAGAAUUGCUCCUGUACUGACACCACAUAUAUAAUCAAACAUCUCGUACGUUUUCUUGCCUGUUAACUCCUCAAGUUUCUUCAACAUUUCUAUGACUAAUACACCACGCAUACCGCCUCCAUCAAUAGAAAGAAUUCUAAUACCUUUACCAGGCAGUGGAUCGGUAUAACCUAAUACUGCUAACGCUUCUCGAACAGAUGCUGUAAAAUUUGUAUCUUUGAAUUAACAAGAUUCAAUUGAAUAGGAUAAUGAUUUAAUAUCGCAUCAUACCCAUUAUUUCUUCAUGUUUAGUUCGAUGGCGAAUGUUUAACAACACUUGAAUUGCACCUUCUUUUAUAGCGUAAUGCCUCGCUUCAGGAUAUUGAUCAAUGUGUAAUAAAAAGUCUUCAAUUCUUCUCCAGCGCGAAGCAUUGGACUCGGCACUUACAAUACUGUUUAAAAUAUGACGUGUUCUAGAUGCAAUACUAUGCAUUGGUAUAUUUUUCUGAACAUUUAUCUUCCACUUUGGUUGAACAAUCAACUUUGUUGCUUUACUUUUAACAGUUAGUUUAAAUAUUAACAUAUCAAAAGCUUGAAAGAAAGCAUGAGUUUUCGUGUCAGUUGGCACUUUGCCGUUACUCGUUGUUUCCUUGUAAAUUUGCUAUAACAAUCAUGAAAAGAAUGAAUAAAGAAUCACAUUUUUAUACGUUAUACAUACUUUUCAUAUACUACUCGAAACACACAACAUACUUUCUCAUGUUUAAUAAAAUCAGCCGAUAAUGUUUCACCUUUUCCAGACUCUAAUGUAAUCUUCUCAGUAGACGUUUUGUUGUUACCGGACUGAUCAGAGCUUAACGCUUUAUCGUCGUGCGUAAUCUUCGACAGUUCAGUUGGCGAGAAUCUUUUCAGAGCAUUAAUUUGUGAAUAUGUCACUUUUUGCAAGAAAUCAAGCCAAUCCUUGAAUAGAAUUAUUUGUAAAUUUUUAUUAUAACCAGAUUUAUUGAAAUAAUCCUUCAAUUGUGUUAAAAUUUUUGAAUGACUCUGCAUAGACAUUUUACUAUUCCACAGAAUAAUAUUUAUACUAUUAAGCAAUCUAUUAUCGUAGACUUUUUCACCGUGAUUCUUAUCUCGAUCACCAUUCGUAAAUCGUCUGUAAUAAAAAAAAAAUUACAUCAUACAUUUAACUCUGUAUCAGAAUAGCAAUAGAAUGGAAUAGAACAUACGACAGCAUUAAUAGAACACAGAUAACCUACAGGAAUGAAAAUAAUUAAAUGUUAUUUGUAAGUAAUUACCUCAGGAUAAGGUAUUUUUAUCGCUAGUUGCUCACAAAGUGAAUAAAACAGUUACGAAAGUCUUGUAGUGAAACUCGUAAAGAUAUCGGAUGUGAUGCGGCUGUCAAAAUCAGCUGAUGCGCAUAAUGUCGAAAAAUCUACCAAGAGCUAUAUUUAAAGAUGCUUUUUCGAGAAGCAAGACACUUAUUUGGUAAGAAGAACUAUUAUUAAUUUGGUUGCAAGUUCCACGUACUCUGUACGCGCAUUUAAAUAACGUACAGAAUUACUACUAUGCCAUUAUACAUAUGAUACACAAUACGUUUCAUAAAGCACUAUGUAUGUACAUUUGAUGCACGAUGCAAGCGCUAUAUUUUGUACGGUACGAAGAAAGGCAACAGAUAAUCCACGAAGAUUGAUUCAACGCAAACUGGUUAAACUUUGUCUCAUGGGCCCACAAAUUUUUGGUUAAAAAUUAUGAAAUCUUGUAGUUUUUGACCUGAAAAGUCCGAAAAUGCAAGUUAACAGUUUAGGAAACCAAUAGUUUAAAAGAUACGAGUACAUAAAAAUGUGUGUACUUGGCGUACUUUGACAGGAGUAUAGCUACCGCAAGAAAGGUUGGGUUACAUAGGAUGAUCAGAGAGAGAAGGAAGUAACAGGGGAUAGCGGAUAAUUAAGGAUAUCAGCGUGUCUGAAAUUGGGUUAAUAUAUUUAUGAAAAAAAUUCCCUCUUCGUCAGUCAUUUCGCUACCUAUACCUUGAACCACGGAAUUUUGUUUAUUAGAGAAUAUAGUGUUUAUUAGAAUGUAAGGUGUAGUUAAUAAAUGAAAGGUAUUAUAUAAAUGAAUAAAA